GGCAGUGUGUCCGAGUGGUUAAGGAGUCGGACUCGAAAUCCGAUGGGCUCUGCCCGCGAGGGUUCGAAUCCCUUCGCUGUCG
rnacentral:tRNA from 1 species